AACGAACGCUGGCGGCAUGCCUAACACAUGCAAGUCGAACGAGACCUUCGGGUCUAGUGGCGCACGGGUGCGUAACGCGUGGGAACCUGCCCUUAGGUUCGGAAUAACUCCCCGAAAGGGGUGCUAAUACCGGAUAAUGUCUUCGGGCCAAAGAUUUAUCGCCUUUGGAUGGGCCCGCGUUGGAUUAGCUAGUUGGUAGGGUAAAAGCCUACCAAGGCGACGAUCCAUAGCUGGUCUGAGAGGAUGAUCAGCCACACUGGGACUGAGACACGGCCCAGACUCCUACGGGAGGCAGCAGUGGGGAAUAUUGGACAAUGGGCGAAAGCCUGAUCCAGCAAUGCCGCGUGAGUGAUGAAGGCCUUAGGGUUGUAAAGCUCUUUUACCCGGGAUGAUAAUGACAGUACCGGGAGAAUAAGCUCCGGCUAACUCCGG
rnacentral:rRNA from 1 species